GGGAUUUGAAAAGAGAAACAUGGAAGGGUCCUGAGAGCGACUUCCUGAAGAGGAAAAGGCUAGACGAUUUCCCAGAAUCUACAGUACCAUACCAGUGAUGGUGACACAGAUAUGGGAAGGAAAGUCCCCCAGGUCUCAGAUAUGAUGGCAUCAGAGACACAGAAAGACAAACAAACAAAACGGGAAGACUUGCCACGAUUCCGAAAAGUUGUCUAAAUUGGUCUCUAUCGAGUAAUAAAAUCACAGGUUUUUGAUGGCAUUAAGGAAAGCUGUUGCUGCCUGUUUUGAAGAUGCCUCUCUUAUCUCAAUGGCUAGUUUUGGACAUUUCCACACUUGAGACAUGAGAGACUUAAAGAGCCUCUUGGAUCAACAAGUCUGUUUUCCUUCCCUUGCCCUCCCACGAGUUUAAGACUUCUCCAGGAGAAAAUUCAAUUGCCUCCAACCUACCCAUUACCUGGUGACUUUACUCAGUGAAUUCAUUCCUUUGCUAGGCUGACUUGUACGUUGACCCUGAUUUUUUUUUCCCUCAAGUGCCUUGUUUAGCCACAUUUUAUGACUCUGCUCUUGACUGAGGCACACAGGUCAAACUGUUACUUUACAAAGGGAGGUUCAUAAAGUGAGUAUUUCUCAAGUAAUUCUGGAAACUAGAGAGGAAAUGAUUCGAGGAUACAAAGGGGUACAGCCAGUUUGUUGAGCUUCCAUACUGAAGAAUAAUGGCUUUACGUAGAACAUAAGCACUCUCCAGAGAUGUUUCUACAAAGCACACUUACAGUAGUUGAAGCAGUGCUCCUGAGAAAGGUUCCCUGGUGCAGGGUUACAGAAAGAAAUUUCUAAACCCUAACCAAACUGAAAGGGGGUUUUCAGAAAUGUCCUCUUCUCUCAGAGAGAGGUUAGGUACACACAAUAAGUACUGAGUCAACAUUUGUUUUUUGCUAACCACUCAGUAAAUUCUAGAGCAGACAUCUUCUACUAAGCUAUAGUCCUAACAAUGAAAGCGGGACCUGUUUAGCAGUUUAUGUUUCUAUUGUACAGGAGAAUGACUUCCUAGCUUAAGUGACUAUGCCUUUAUUAGAGGUUAUUAUGAUAUAAAGGGUUCAAGUUCUUAAGGGUUAUAAGGGGGUAAUAACUGAGUUUCUUGCCUCACUGUAUUUCCCUGGGGAAUACACAAUAGACCCCAUACAUGUAACUAAAUAAACCUAAGAUACGAAACCCUCUUCUCUAAGAAUUCCUACAGGAUGUAAACAUGAGAGAGACCCUCUGGGCUUAUGACCUAGUCACCAAGUUGGACUUAAAAAGGCAAGUAAAGAAAAUAGACUUACAUGUAAGACUCAAGUAAGGUGUUUAGAUAAUGGCACUGUGCAUGUAAUGAGGAUGCUGAAGACAACUGAAGUCAUAAAAAAGUGGGACAUAAAAUUGUCCAGGACAGAGUUUGCUUACAGGAAUAACAGGAGAGUGAUUGGAAUGCUAGAUUGGGACAAAAUGGUGGGCAGAAUAUUUUGCCCAUGGAAAGUUUAUAUUUCAUUUUGUAGGCUACUCUAGGAUAUUUACUUAAAUUUUAUGUUUCCUGACUGUCCAGGUAACAAUGGAAUCCUAUACAUUUUCUUCAGAUGAAAAAAGAUGGAUGUGUGCCAGUUAAUCAAACAGGAUAGAAUUUGCUUGCUCCUUUUUACGGGAUGAUGAUGACUAAUGCUGUAGAUAAUGCUUUAAACAGUGAUUUUGCUCACCAGACUUGGUCCCAAUGUUCUCAAUGAAAGUCAAGACCAUACUCUUGACAUGUGACUUUGGGAAGGGAAUUCUGAGAAGUAACAUUAAUGAGUUUUAAAUAUGGAGUCCUCUUUCUUCCUUCCUUCCUUCCUUCCUUCCUUUCUUUCUUCUUUCUUUCUUUCUUUCUUUCUUUCUUUCUUUCUUUCUUUCCAUGGAGAUUUCUGAUGAUUUAACUUGGUAAGAGGAUGUUUCAGGCUUCCAGCAAGUAUUGUAUAGUAGAUUCUAAGAAGCAAUUUGGCAAUAACUAUCAGAAAGAGCCUUAUAAAGGUCAGCCCAUUGACCUAAUUCCAUGUCUACCAAUCUACCGUAUCCAUGUUAGAAUAAUCUAGAACACAUGAAGAUGUUCAUUUCAGUAUUAUCUAUAAAAGUUAAAAAAAAGAGGAAAAACAAAUGUUCAACUGUAAACACAGUAGAUAUUACACAGAAUAAAAUACAAAGCCAUUGGCCUGGUAAUAAAUAAAUAACAUUACCAGCAUGAAGCUUGUGAUAUAAAUGAAAUGAAAUAGUUCUCAGCAUGUUAGUGAUUACACACUGGUAUUAAAUAGUA